UACGCCCGAUCUCGUCCGAUCUCGGAAGCUAAGCACGGUCGGGCCUGGUUAGUACUUGGAUCGGAGACCGCCUGGGAAUACUAGGUGCUGUAAGCUU
rnacentral:rRNA from 1 species